rnacentral:rRNA from 1 species
AAAUAAUAUAAUUUAAUUUAAUUAGUAUUAAUUAAUUUAUAAUUAAUAAUUUUAAUUAAAAAUUUAUUAGGUGAAAUUUUAAAUUUUUAAUAAAGAUUUAUAAUUUUUAAUAAGGUUAAAAAAUUUAAAUUAUAAACUAGGAUUAGAUACCCUAUUAUUUUAAAUGUAUUUUUAAAUACUAAAUUAGUAUUAGUUAUGUUCUUGAAAAUUAAAGAUUUUGGCGGUAUUUUAGUCUAUUCAGAGGAACCUGUUCUGUAAUUGAUGAUCCACGAUUUAAUUUACUUUUUUUAUUAGUUUGUAUAUCGUCGUAAUUAGAACAUUUUUUAAGAAUUAUAAUGUUCAAGAUUUUUAAGAAGAGAAUAAAUCAGAUCAAGGUGCAGUUUAUAAAAAAGAAGAAAUGGGUUACAAUAAAAUUAUUUAUAGGAUUAUUAUUUGUAAAAUAAUAUGAAUUUGGAUUUGAAGGUAAAUUUAAUUAAUUUAUUAAAUUGAUUUUAGCUCUAAAAU